rnacentral:lncRNA from 1 species
AUGAAUUUGGUGGACAUCCUUAAUAUGUAAAUAUGAUGAGAAGUUGAGCAUGACAGAGCUUUUGUAAAUAUGAACAAAGUCAUUUUUAUGUUUUAUUCUUUAGAAGUUUGCACACAGAGAAACAUGAUGCUAGAGUUGGAGAACCUACCAUUGACAAGAACCACGUGAUUGGUCGAAAGUGAAGGAAAUUUCCUUUCUCAUGGCCGCACCUUUUUGUUGAUCCAAAU